rfam:Picea glauca, whole genome shotgun sequence.
UUCAGAGUGGCACAGCUGAAGCGUGGUGGGCUCAUAACCCACAGGUCCCAGGACCGAAUCCUGGCUUUGAAC